rnacentral:lncRNA from 1 species
AUGGAAAGCGACCACAAUACCCUAUGACCAUAUAUGGAAAUUAUGACCAAAUUUGGUAAGAACCUUAUUUUCACUCAAAAUAAACAUACAUGACCAUAUAUGGAAAUCGACAAAACAACCUAUGACCAUAUAUGGAAAUCAUGACCAAAUUUGGUAAAAACCUUAUUUCCGUUGAAAAAUCAAAAUAAAAUACAUGACCAUAUAUGGAAACCGACCAGAUACCCUAUGAUCAUAUAUGGAAAUGAUGACCAAAUUUGGAAAAAAACUUUUAUUUUCACUCAAAAAUCAAAAUAAACAUAUAUGACCAUAUAUGGACAACAGGUCACGUGAUCGUACCGAGGAACGUUAACUCUGGUACAAAACAAGGGAAGCAACUCUGUAUAUAUAUCUCUCGUGGAGUGACAAUUCAACGAGGCAAGGUCACGUGAUCGUAUCGAGGAACUCUGAUACAAAAAAGGGAAGCAACUCUUCAUGAUGUGAACAUCAAUCACCGAUUAAUCGUAUCGUGUUCGGGGCA